UCUUAAAUGACCGCUACACUGCUU
rnacentral:snRNA from 1 species